AAUCCUCUAGUGGCUGUCUCAUUGACAGCCACUAGAGGCGCUUGCGUGCUUCUCACUGUGAAAAUCACAGUGAGAGCACGCCAGCGUCCAUAGGAAAGCAUUGUAAAUGCUUUCCUAUGAGACCGGCUGAAUGCGCGCGCAGCUCUUGCCGCGCGUGCGCAUUCAGCCGGCGGGGCGGGUCGGAGGAGGAUCGGAGGAGGAGAGCUCUCCGCCCAGCGCUGGAAAAAGGUAAAUUAUUACCCUUUCCCCCUUCCAGAGCCGGGCGGGAGGGGGACCCUGAGGGUGGGGGCACCCUCAGGGCACUAUAGUGGCAGGAAAACGAGUAUGUUUUCCUGGCACUAUAGUGGUCCUUUAAAAUUGAGCACUUAAAGUGAAUUGGAAAUUGUAUAAAAACAAAUAAGUGACCUUGAUUGGGUCAAAGCAGUCUUGCCCCUGCCUAAGUAAACUUGAAAAAUCCCCCCCUUCACCCCCCUCAAAAAAACAGGUGCUAAUAAUAUUUUUAUUAAUGCUCAUUUAUUUGCUAAAUGUCCUGCAAAUGCAGAGCAAUUGGUUAAGAGGGUGUACUGCUGACUUGACCCGGUUAGUCUUUGAAUCCUGCUUUUCUUCCUUCGUAACGGACAGUCAGUGAUACCUUUAUCAGAUAGUUCAAACAGGCAUCACUGCUGCAAGGUAGACUGGAAGAUGACAAUUCGGACUGGUGUGCGCUAAGUGUGAUGUCACAUUAUGUUUUGACCAUUUGACUCAUCUGGACAGCACAUCAUCUGUGUGCAUUUUGAUUCUUCUUCUGUGCCCAUUCUACUGAUUACAACACGUAUGCCUUCUUCAUUAUUAAAUAUUGUGCAUAUGUAUUAUAUCAUGAGGCAUAGACUGUUAUCAAAAUAAAAUUACAAAUGACUAUGUAUGACGUGUUUUCCCUUAUAAACAAAACAUGCUAAACAUGGGUAUAUGAAAACAAAAUCUGGGGGGACAGAUUUUAACUACAAAAAUCUUCCCCUCCACUUUGAAUCAAGAUUGCAUACAUCAAGCCACAUAUGUGAUACAAACAUUCACAUUACAGGAUACUAUACAUAAUCCAAAUUCACAAUGUGUCUUAUUCACUAAACAAAGAAUAGUGGUUAAUCGAAAAUGAAAUGUAAUAUUUAAAGUUAUAAAGUUGAGAUGACAAGGUUUCCAGUCUUUUUUUUUUAGCCUAGAUUUUGUAAUUCGGAAUGCAGUGAUGUAACUCUGUACAGUAUGUGACUGAGUAAAUAAGUAUGUGGUGUCAGUGUACAUUGUCAGUUAAGUGUAUAUUGUGUCAGUGUGAAUUCUUGUUUGAAUAUAUUGUGUAUAUUUGUGGUAACUGAAUUGCGUGUAAAUGUUGUGUGUGUG